CACACGCACACAACACAACACACACACACAUACACAACACACAUACACACACAUACACACAAGGUGUGGUAUUUAUUGGAGUACAGUGGCGAUCUCGAUAAUAACGCGACUCGUACUUCUUGUUCGUCAAAGUAUUUUAAUAUGCUGGCCACUUUUGAUGGAAUUGUUUUUGGAAUGUAAUGGCUUCUCUAUUCUAUCUUCAAAUAUUAGUAACAGCUGAAGACAUCACACAGUUAUUGUCAGUAAAUCUCAUUCCUGCUAUAGUAGACCAUUGAAUCGAAUCAGACAUGGAAAGAAGUGGUGAUAUCUGAUCUCAGAAUGGUGGACCUGACAAUAAAGAUGAUGGAAGAUUACGAGUAACAAGUCACUGUGCUGGAACUGAUUGAUGCUAUCCAUGACAGCCAGAAUUAAAAGACAAACAUAAAACCAUGAUGAUUAUAAAAUAAUUUUUUAUGAAUAAAAAUUUAAAAAAUUGUACUCAAUAAAGUUGUAGAGUAAAGUGUUUGUAUACUGACACAGCCCUUGCACAGAUUAAAACAAUUUUUACUUGAG